GUGACUGUCUGGGCUGCACCGUGGCGUGAUCUGGUUCACAUGCCAGGAACUUUGAUGGGGAGAGGUUGAGAUUAAUGAUGACAUAAUACAGGGUGUGGUGGCAGGAGUUUUUUCCUCUAAUACAGCGAUGGAUUCCAACCUGGGAUCGGUUCCUGGAUGGAGACGCAGCAUGCCAGCGGUGUUCAGUUCAAAUCUGCAGAGAAUUAAUAUAACUGGACUGAAGUUACAAGGAAGAAUUGGACUGAGCCAGGAGGGCUCACGCUAACAGAAGAUUACUAGCCAUAAGAAAAUUACAGCUCAUCUGAAAGACAGUGCCUAAAAUAGCAGCAUAUCCUUGGCACCAUCAUAGGAACUGGUUAACUGAUGACCCUGAAGAAACACUUGUUCCCAUUAAUUCUGCUGUCAUUAUUUCGCUAGCCUCGAACUCUUCCUCUGAAUUCUUCUGUCCUUCUGAUCCCAAGACAUGAUGGCAGGAACGUGAGAGAAAACAAAGAAAUUACAAUAAGCUGUCGGCUAUAUAAUUAUAUUGUAACCUACUUCACUGAGAAGUUACACCAACAGAAAUUUGGCAAGGUAUUGGCUGUUAGCUGCUAUCUAAACACUGGACACUCACUAGUAUAACAUUAAAAAAAACAGGCUCACUAAAAAGCAACAUCUACAUUACAAAGAAGCUAACAAAAGAAUUCCCUUAUGAUACUUAGGUUCAUCUGCUUCAUCUUAGGUUCAUCAGCUACAUUUUCUUCUUUUAUGAAUACUUGUUACAUUUGCAAUUGAAUAUAUAUUUAAGGUCACAAUGCUACAAACCUUUUUCCAGCAUGUAGUUUCGCCACCUUUAGUUAGACAACAUGUGACACAAAGGAGCACUUGCUCCAGUUAGGGUUGAAGGUUCUGCUGAAGGUUGGUGACUUUAUUAGGUCAUGUGUGCUGUAAUGACUUGUGCACCACAAUUUUUAAAUCCCUAAGACAUGAUUUCCUAGGUAGAAGGCAGCAAAUGUGCUUUGAAAUUGCCAAGCAGACCAAGAGAGUCUUUUUGUUCCAAACAAUCAGCUGUAAAUCCUGAAUCGGAACAAAUUCAUAAUUUGUAGAGUUCAGAUUUUAAAGUAUCUCUACCGAACAGAAGUAAACAGUCUCUGAUUAAAUUCCAAAUGUUCCAAGGACCCUAUUGUAAACAUACUAACUUUUACUGUUAAGGGACUUACUGGCAAGAGUUAUCAGUAGGGCCCUGUGGUGAAGAUGCCUUUGUCUUCAAGAAUAGCUGCUGUGCCACAAAGCAUCCCAAAUACAGGUACAUCGUGGUUAUCUGAACCCUGGGGUUACAGCUGAACCUCCCACACACCCCCUUUUUCCUUUUUUUACAGAGUGUGCAUGGUGUCAACAUUAGGAAAUCUUGCUCAAAAUAUUUUUCUGAAAUCUUAGUAUUUUUCAAAAUGCACCUAUGCCAAACUGUUCAGAUAACCAGAGCUUAUCAAUAUAUAUUCCAAAUGAACAGAAAGAAAGUAUCUUUGGACUUUUUAUAUUCCAACCCCAUUAGAAGCCAACAGAAUUUAUAAGGCUUUCAAAUGAGUUUUUGCUCUUGUCACACCAGUAGUUACAGUGGCCACAUGUCACCAUGGCCUCUGUGAUGAUAGGGCACUUAAUUUAAUAGUUAUUUGGACAAACACAAUUUUGGAAGUUGCAGCAAAUGAAGUCCCUGGCAUUACAUUUGACAGGGCCUGGUUGAGAGGAACAAAAGAGUUUUGGGAAUCAAGAAAACGAAGACUUCAGAAUUCCAAAUUUGCCACUGAUCUGUUGAUCACAUCUUGGGCAUCAGCUGCCUUCUGCAGUUGUCUAGUCUGGUAAAAAUGGGGACCGUCAUGCUUAUUUCUCUAGCUCAAAAAACUGUCAUGAUAGAAUAAUUAUUUGUAUAGCACACAGAAGAUAAAGUGCUAUCCAAAUGCUGCUUACUCAUGUUUUCCUCACUACAAGAAUAUAUCUUCAUCACUAAUAAUUAUCUGCUAAUUACCAUUGCUGAGAAUAUGAUGGUGUUCACCACCUUAUUUUUAAUUUCAAUACAGAUACUUUCUUAAAAGUUAUGUAAAUAUAUGAAAUUACAGUACAUUUUCCUAAUGGCCCUGCUACAUCUGAGCUUGAUCCUAUUCAAUUGUGACUACGAAUUGAAUAGCAAUGAUGACCUCUAUUCAGUAGAACUACAUAGACAGUUUCUAUUGUAUUCUCAACAUCUAAACCAUGAAAUGUAAGGAAGCCAUUCUAAGCAGAAUACAGCUGGGUCAAAGGCCUACUGAUGCCAAUUAUGCUUUGUACAUAAUAAUGCACAUUUUACCUAUUUGGAAAAAAAUUCACAUUUAUUUACUGUCAAACAGGUGUUAAACUUUACACUGGAUAUUAGUGAUGGGCUCAUUAUUAACAGGUUUACACAAAGGGAUGAAAAAAGCAGAAUUUUGUUUAAACAAUUUACAUUUCAUUAGAUUUUUAUCAUAAAAUAAAUUAAUUACUAAAUAUAGGCAGAAGGAAUAUGGAAGAGUAAUAGUUAUGUUUUAUUUAUUUUUUUUUAAAGGACAGGCACCUUUUAUUCACGAGAAAGCUUGUGAGAAGUGUCCAGUGUCCCCUUUACCCCUUACCACCCAACCCUGAUUAAAGAAUGAACAGGGAAUUGAGUUACAAUCUUUGUUAGCUAUACCAGAUUUGUGCAAGGCUUGGCAUAAUUGGCGUCUAAAACGAAUUUCUCCCCAAAUUAUUUUUUUUGGCAAUAAAAAUUCAAAACGUAAGAAUAAAAACAAACUUGUCAAAGCAGAACACUGUUUACAGUGAAAAAUAAGUGAAAACGGGUAGAACUUGCAUUUUAAACAUACUACCGUACUAUGAACAGAGUG